UACGGAGGGCGCAAGCGUUGCUCGGAAUCACUGGGCGUAAAGCGUACGCAGGCGGAUCGAUAAGUCGGGUGUGAAAGCCCGGGGCUCAACCCCGGAAUUGCGCCCGAUACUGCCGAGCUUGAGUACGGGAGAGGGAUAGCGGAAUUCCUGGUGUAGAGGUGAAAUUCGUAGAUAUCAGGGGGAACACCAGUGGCGAAAGCGGCUUCCUGGCCCGAUACUGACGCUCAUGUACGAAAGCGUGGGGAGCAAACAGG
rnacentral:rRNA from 1 species